GUCUACGGCCAUGCCACCCUGAACGAGCCCGAUGUCUGAUCUCAGAAGCCAGCCGAGGUCGGGCCUGGUUAGUACUUGGAUGAGAGACCACCUAGGAAGACCAGAUGCUGUAGGCA
rnacentral:rRNA from 1 species